CAGCAGCAUUAUUUGAGAAUGAUCCAAAGUUCAUAUUUUGCUUUAAAACAUCAGACUGUCUGCACAAAUGAGUUUUACAUAGUGCCAUGGAUUUGGAUUAGUGAACUAAUAAAAGUAUCAGAAAAUGGGAAUUUACAAGGAUGGAGGGCCACCAGAGCAGCUUUAGCAGGAACCUCUGGAACCAGGGAGGUUGAGAGAGAAGCUCUGGGACUGGAGCAGCUUGAUCACCAGAUCUUCCUGAGGCUAUGAAAGGAAACACUGGGGCAGCCUUGGCUGGAGUUUCUUUGGCAGCAUGAAUCUCUGCACCGCCAUGAGAGGAACCUUUGUGGUGGGCAACAGUGUGACCCGGAUGGUCAUGCAGCUGGAGCUCCAUGUUCUAAGGUUUCAGCAGCAAGAACUGGAACAGGAAGCUCUGGGACCAAGGUUGCUCUGAAAAGGCAUACUGUCAAGUGACCUCUUUGGUGCCUGUCACUCUGACCUCUCUUAUCUCAGUAGGUUCUGGAGCAGCAGCAUCAGGAUUGUUUAGGGUGGCUUUCACAGUGAUUUCUGGAGCCACUAUGACAGAAUCCAUGAGAGCCGUUUGCCUGUGGCAGGAAGCGGCAGUUUGAGGGACCUCUGGGACCAGCAGAGGUGUGAAAUGGGCAUCCUGGGACUUUCAAGUCGGGACCCUCUCUGGAGCCUCAGCAGGUUCUUGAGCAGUGACAUGAACCUUUAUGGCAGCCUUAACAUGCCUUUCUGGCGCGGCCCUGACAAGAUCUCUCAACCCAAGGCAGCUGAGAAAGGGGGAUCUGUGGCCAUGACUGAGUGCUCUCAUGCAUCUGUGACAUGGAUCUCUGGGAUCCAGACACCAGCGGCAGGAACUUCUGGAGCAGCAAUGAGAGGGGCUUGACAGGGAGCUCAGGAAUUGCAAGUGUCCAAUCCAUUCAUCCGAUGUCGUUGAGAUCUGGAAAAGGCAGGUGAUCAUCCUAAACAGCAGCACCCCCAGCGACCAUGCCGUCGCCUGUUUCGCACAGUUCUCGCCCUUCUCAAAGUAUUCAGGGGGACAGUACCUUGCUGUCCCUGAAGGAAAGAGUUUGCCACAUGUGUAAGUUUGCUUUACCACUUUUUUUCUCACUUUACUCUAACUGUAAUGGCAUUUCAUUUUAGUCAACAAAAAUUAAAUUAUCCUUUGCUUUCUGAGAAUGUUGUUAGUCCAUUGUUCAUUUUCUGCUGUGUCCUGCCUGAUUAG
ensembl:lncRNA